CCGCGCGCGCACACACGCGCACCCUCCUCCACCUCCCUCCUGACAGAUCCGCACAGAUGGAUUCCUUCGCUGGAAAAUAAAGAAGAGGGUUGAAAGAGGAGGGGCCGCGGCCGGUCCGUCUCCACUCGAGAAUGAAAGAACUUCUAGCUCAAGGCAGUCAUUAACUAAUUUGAAAACCAGAACCCAGCAGAUGAUAUAUACUUAUUUACUGCAUCUGGUCUCAUUUUAAUGAAAGGAUGUGAUGGUUAAAUUGAAGUAAAUUGUUCAGGAAGUACAUCUUGCCAAAAACAUCAGGGUCUGAAAUGAUUCUGUCCGGAGCCGUUUUGGAAGCUAGCCGGUAGAUGUGGCAGAGACUCAUAUCGACUUAUGUCAAAUGGAUGGUUUUGUUACUGGGGACCAGUUUAUCUUCCCUGAAACGUCAUCAGAGACACAAAGCCUCCUGUGUACCUGGUUGAGACUCAAAAUCUGUAUCUCAGCUCUCCUCGGAAGCUUACGCCCCACCAAUGGGAGUCUUCAUUGUACAAAUGCACAGAGAUUAAGUGUGCACAGCUGUGGAUGUUAAGUGCUCAGCCCCCCACAGAGGCAGAGAAGACGUAAGUCCUCCAUAUGAGAAUCUCUGCAGAAGCAGCAGAGCUCAACAUCACGUCUCUGCCUGAUUCCAACAUUCCCUUCAGAGACUGCAGCUUUGCUGAGGCUAGACGAGUGCCAAGGGCACGGUUCACACUCUGAUUCUGCAUUGAAUGUACAUAUCGGUAUCAAUUUUGAAUUUAAUCUACAGUUCUUUUUUUAUUUCAUACUAAUACGAAGGCACAAAUGAUUAGGUUACAUUGUUUGUGUUUCUAAGGUAAAGUUCAAGUUGUAGUUGAGCCGUUCUAAUUUGAAAUUAGAAAUUUUUCUAAUUUGUACUUCUAAUUGAUAAUGUAUUUCAACUUUCACUUUUGAAUGAUGGCUAUAUGAACUAACACAAAUGUAUUAGAACAAAAUAUGAAGUAUUUACAAGGAAAAUAUCUUUGCAUGUCUUAUGAAAUCUGUGAUUAAUGUUGAUAAUAAUUAUCAGGGAAUAAUAACUACCAGAACAAAUCUAAUGAUCUACAAGUUUUGGUAGACAUGUAGAUGGUGAUUUAUUAAGCUUCCUGUCUUUUAAUUUUUUCAGUUAUGGUUAAAAGUAGUCAAUCUUUGUGGAUUUCAAAUCACAAUUCUCAACCAAUGUGUAUUUAAAUCUGUUAAAUUUCAUGUAUUCGUCUGUUAAAACUUUUUAUGACUCCUUUUCAAUUGUACAAUGUCACUGGAAUUUAUUUUCCUCAUC